GUGCCUAAUACAUGCAAGUAGAACGCUGAAGGAGGAGCUUGCUCUUCUGGAUGAGUUGCGAACGGGUGAGUAACGCGUAGGUAACCUGCCUGGUAGCGGGGGAUAACUAUUGGAAACGAUAGCUAAUACCGCAUAAUAGCAGUUGUUGCAUGACAACUGUUUAAAAGGUGCAAUUGCACCACUACCAGAUGGACCUGCGUUGUAUUAGCUAGUUGGUGGGGUAACGGCUCACCAAGGCGACGAUAUAUAGCCGACCUGAGAGGGUGAUCGGCCACACUGGGACUGAGACACGGCCCAGACUCCUACGGGAGGCAGCAGUAGGGAAUCUUCGGCAAUGGACGGAAGUCUGACCGAGCAACGCCGCGUGAGUGAAGAAGGUUUUCGGAUCGUAAAGCUCUGUUGUAAGAGAAGAACGAGUGUGAGAGUGGAAAGUUCACACUGUGACGGUAUCUUACCAGAAAGGGACGGCUAACUACGUGCCAGCAGCCGCGGUAAUACGUAGGUCCCGAGCGUUGUCCGGAUUUAUUGGGCGUAAAGCGAGCGCAGGCGGUUAGAUAAGUCUGAAGUUAAAGGCUGUGGCUUAACCAUAGU
rnacentral:rRNA from 1 species